rnacentral:rRNA from 1 species
CGAAGGGCUAGCGUUGUUCGGAAUUACUGGGCGUAAAGCGCACGUAGGCGGAUAUUUAAGUCAGGGGUGAAAUCCCGGGGCUCAACCCCGGAACUGCCUUUGAUACUGGAUGUCUUGAGUCCGGAAGAGGUGAGUGGAAUUGCGAGUGUAGAGGUGAAAUUCGUAGAUAUUCGCAGGAACACCAGUGGCGAAGGCGGCUCACUGGUCCGGUACUGACGCUGAGGUGCGAAAGCGUGGGGAGCAAACAGGAUU